UACGUAGGGGGCAAGCGUUGUCCGGAAUCAUUGGGCGUAAAGCGCGUGUAGGCGGCUCGGUAAGUCCGCUGUGAAAGUCGGGGGCUCAACCCUCGAAUGCCGGUGGAUACUGUCGGGCUAGAGUGCGGAAGAGGCGAGUGGAAUUCCUGGUGUAGCGGUGAAAUGCGCAGAUAUCAGGAAGAACACCAGUGGCGAAGGCGGCUCACUGGCCCGGAACUGACGCUGGAGGUGACGAAAGCGUGGGGAGCAAACAGG
rnacentral:rRNA from 1 species